AGUGUUCACAGUCUGGCUGGCCUACUCUCCAUCUGUGUCUCUGUCCUAAUCCCUGCCUCCUCUCUUUCUCUGUCUGUUUCUCUCUCUCUCCUUGGCUUACCUUCUCCCUCUCUAUCUCUCUGUCUCUAUUUCCCUCUCUGCCUUAAACACCUAUGUCUAUACGGGUUAUGGAUGCCUGCCAUAGGGAGGGGCUCUGACCCUGACUGAGCUUCCUCUAGCAUAGUACUUGUAACUACUGACACCUGUCCCUGCACCCAUGCCUUCACUCUGAGUUCCAGGAGGGAAAGGACUGUGGUUGACUAGCUGUGCAUCCCCAGGGUCCACCUCCAGGCUUGGCCCAGUGGAGAGCCUCCCUCAGGGCUGUUGACCAGGAUGGAGAGGCUGAAGAGGAGAUUUCUCCAUCACCCCCAGCACCCAGCACCUGCCUGCAGAGAAGCUGGGACCUACUUCUCCUACUGAAAGGUCUCCUCUCCUACAGCCCCAUCAGCUUCUAAGGUGAUUUUGCACUAGAUGGGACUUUCCGUACAAUGUUGAACAGAUAUGGAGAUAACAGCAUCCGGGUCUUGUUCCUGAUCUCAGAAGGCAAGCUUUCAACAUUGUCCCCAUUAAUAUGAUAUCUAUUUGCUGUUGGCUUUUUUGUAGAUAUGUAGAUUCUAUAGAAACUUUUGUAGAUUAAGGAAGUCCCUUUAGAUAGUUAGUUAUAAACAUGAAUGGAUGUUGAAUUUCAGCAUCAACUGAGAUAAUCAUUUGAUUUUUCUCUUUGGUUAUGAAUCAUACCAAUUUAUUUUCAAAUACCAAGCCAAACUUACAUUUCUCUUGCAGUCUGUAAAUGACAAUAUUUGUCUUUUAAAAACACACUUUUUAUUAAAGUGUAGCAUACAUAUGCAUAUAUAACAGCAGAUGCACAAAUCAUACAUGUAGAGUUUGAUGAAUUUUUAAAAUUUGAACACCUCGCUAAAAAACAGCUCUCAAAUAAAGUAAGAGAAGAUUACCCGCCCACAAAAACUCUAUACAUGCCUCUUUCCAAUCACUACCCCAGAGGUGAUCACUAUCCUGACAUCUAACACAAUGUAUUCAUUAUGACUGUGUGUGAAGUUUUUAUAAAUGGAAUUGUAUAGAAGGUGCCUGAGGUUUUCUGUUUAAAAUUUUGUUUAUUAGAUUCUCCAAUGUUGUUCCAUAAAGAAAUAGCUCUUACAUGCUCACUUCUGUAUAAUCUUUAUGUAUGUGAGUGUACCAAAGUUACCUGUCUAUUCUAUUGGUAAUAGAUAUUUUGGUCGUUUCUAACUUGGGGUUAUUACAAUGGUGCUGAAGCGAACAUAUGUAUUCUUUUCUGUUGGUCAUGUACUUAGGAAUGGAGUUUUACAGCAUAUGACUACGUUCUGCUUUAGAAAAUUCUGCUAGUUUUCCAAAGUUAAUUGUAGCAAUUCAUAUUCCCACCAAUGUAUAUGAGAGUUCUAGG
rnacentral:lncRNA from 10 species